GGCCUCGUAGCUCAACUGGAUAGAGCAUCUGACUACGAAUCAGAAGGUUGAAGGUUCGAAUCCUUCCGAAGUCA
rnacentral:tRNA from 1 species